GGGCGUGUAGCUCAAUGGUAGAGCAGUGGCCUUUUAAGCCAUUGGUUGCGGGUUCGAUUCCCUCCACGCUCA
rnacentral:tRNA from 1 species